AUUGAACGCUGGCGGCAGGCCUAACACAUGCAAGUCGAGCGGCAGCGGGUCCUUCGGGAUGCCGGCGAGCGGCGGACGGGUGAGUAAUGCCUAGGAAUCUGCCUGGUAGUGGGGGAUAACGUUCGGAAACGGACGCUAAUACCGCAUACGUCCUACGGGAGAAAGUGGGGGAUCUUCGGACCUCACGCUAUCAGAUGAGCCUAGGUCGGAUUAGCUAGUUGGUGGGGUAAAGGCUCACCAAGGCGACGAUCCGUAACUGGUCUGAGAGGAUGAUCAGUCACACUGGAACUGAGACACGGUCCAGACUCCCACGGGAGGCAGCAGUGGGGAAUAUUGGACAAUGGGCGAAAGCCUGAUCCAGCCAUGCCGCGUGUGUGACGAAGGUCUUCGGAUUGUAAAGCACUUUAAGUUGGGAGGAGGGGCAUUAACCUAAUACGUUAGUGUUUUGACGUUACCAACAGAAUAAGCACCGGCUAACUUCGUGCCAGCCGCCGCAGUAAAAC
rnacentral:rRNA from 1 species